ACGCUGGCGGCGCGGCCUAACACAUGCAAGUCGAACGAGCGAGAGAGAGCUUGCUUUCUCGAGCGAGUGGCGAACGGGUGAGUAACGCGUGAGGAACCUGCCUCAAAGAGGGGGGACAACAGUUGGAAACGACUGCUAAUACCGCAUAAGCCCACGACCCGGCAAUCCGGGGUUUGAGGGAAAAGGAGCAAUCCGCUUUGAGAUGGCCUCGCGUCCGAUUAGCUAGUUGGUGAGGUAACGGCCCACCAAGGCGACGAUCAGUAGCCGGCCUGAGAGGGUGAACGGCCACAUUGGGACUGAGACACGGCCCAAACUCCUACGGGAGGCAGCAGUGGGGAAUAUUGCACAAUGGGGGAAACCCUGAUGCAGCGACGCCGCGUGAGUGAAGAAGUAUUUCGGUAUGUAAAGCUCUAUCAGCAGGGAAGAAAAUGACGGUACCUGACUAAGAAGCCCCGGCUAACUACGUG
rnacentral:rRNA from 1 species